UAAGGGUAUUCGUUUAAACGUGUAAUGUUACCCAUCGCAUAAAUUUAUGCAAAUACGCAGUGUGUUACAUGAACGCACUUCAAAUUCUUUGUGUAAAUGCCACUUAUUUAUGUAUUAAACAGCUGUUUGGGUGUCAAAAUAUUAAAAUGCCGAAAGUUAGCGAAAAAGCAAAAUUUAUUCAACUUUGCGAAAAAUCACUAGUAUUUGAUUUGUUAAUGUUGGAGCUGUUUGGAAAACAUGACGAAAUCCAACGCAAAAAGGAAGAUGAAAUUAUGGAAGACUUUAGCUUUGCAUUGGCAGCUGCUGCAUAUUUUAGAUAUGGAUCUACAUUUGUUCAUCAUUCUGUCCCAAAAUCACCCAACUUUUUAAUAGAUGUAUUACCGCAUUUGGAUGAAAACAGGUUUCGAGAAAUUGUGCGAGUCAGCAAAACCACAUUUGAUUUUAUCAUUGAUCUGAUAAAGGAUGACGAAGUGUUCAAUGGUCCACGUUCAUGUAAACAGUUUCCUAUCCAAAUUCAAUUGGCUGUAGUAAUGUACCGACUGGGUUCAUGUGGAGAAGGAGCAACAAUUACUAAAAUUGCUAGUUUGUUUGAUAUUAGCGAUGGUGGAGUAAUACAGGUGAGCUAUUUACAUAUGUAUCGGUUAAAAUUUGUGUUUCAGCUGUAUUUUAAAUUUCUCAAUAGGUCAUGACCAACAGGGUAUUUGAUGCAAUUAUUAAAAGGAAAACUCAGUUUCUGUUUUGGCCGGACCCUGUAGAGCGUAGAGCUUUAGUUGUUCAAACACUCAGUGAGCUACCACAUUGUGUUGGCUACGUAGAUGGAACGGAGAUAAAAUUGGCGGAAAAACCCACUGUAGAUUGCGAAGCAUAUUUUUCUCGCAAGCAUAUAUAUUCACUUAAGGCUCAAUGUGUGUGUGACCACAAACUAGUAAUUCGUCAUAUGGUAUUGGGGUAUCCCGGUAGUGUUCACGACGCUAGGAUAUACAACAAUUGCGAGCUAUCCACAAACGCCACUGAAAUGCUAACAGGAUCAGAGUGGUUAGCUGCAGACAGUGCAUAUAAAUUAACUUCGACCCUUAUUACUCCUUUUAGAAUAAACGCAACGGAAGGCACCUUGAAUCAACGAAUUCUGUUCAACAGAACGUUCAGCCAGUACCGAAUAAGAAUUGAGCAUUGCUUUGGUUUAUUGAAAGAACGUUUUAAUAGCUUGAAAGAACUCAAAAUUCAAAUAAAGAGUGAUAAUUCGGUAAAGUUUGCAUGCCGGUGGAUAUUAGUUUGUGCGAUAUUGCACAAUAUUAUAUUAAAAGAAAACGACGGUGGUUUUGAUGUUGACGAAGAAAGCAUUAGUGAAAACAGUGAAGUCGACGAGCCUGGGGAUCAAAACUUACCAACAGUUGAAGGUGCAUCUAAGCGCCUUUCAUUGUUAUCACUAAUGGAAACUUAAAAAUAAAGUAUUGAAACUCAUGUUUACAUAUCUUUAAAAUCCAUUAA